UACGUAGGGGGCAAGCGUUGUCCGGAAUUAUUGGGCGUAAAGAGCGCGUAGGCGGUCCGAUAAGUCGGCUGUGAAAGUCAAGGGCUCAACCCUUGAAAGCCGGCCGAUACUGUCGGACUAGAGUCCGGAAGAGGCGAGUGGAAUUCCCGGUGUAGCGGUGAAAUGCGCAGAUAUCGGGAGGAACACCAAUGGCGAAGGCGGUUCUCUGGGACGGUACUGACGCUGAGACGCGAAAGCGUGGGGAGCGAACAGG
rnacentral:rRNA from 1 species